UUCUUCAUCUUCUGGAGCUUAUCCUUCAAUUUCAAUUUUCCCUUGAGUUUAUUCUCCUUUUCUUCACCCCCAAACCCUGAAACCUGCAAAACUUUCCUCUGCGCCUUCCAUAAAGAAGAUUGUGAAUGAUUUCCUCUGGUGAGCUUGGAUAGGUCUUAAGCUGUGUGCAUUUUCCCUGUUCAACGAUGAAGGAUCAAAGGUUUUUACAGGAUUUUUUUUCUCUUCUCUGAAUUCAAACCCUGGAAAUAAAUACCUUUUAUAGCUUCAUUCAACGAGUCCGCAUCAAAUCCGGACAUACAUGUUUGAAUUCAAAAUUUCUUUUCACAUUCUGGCUGGUAAAAGAUGAAGAGGCAAAAAGGAGGAUCAGAAAAUAGCAACCAAAUGAGAUCAAAUUCCCUCUUCCAGGAUUUUUUUCUCUCACAGGCCGAUUCAGCGGAGUAGUGGGCGUUGAAAGUAAAUCCUCAGGUUUCUCUUCUCUCAAUUCUUCAGCCAUAUGGAGAUUCGAACAUGUGACUUAAGGUUCAAACCCUAGAAUUAAAAUUUUUUUUCACAUUCUGGCUGGUAAAAGAUGAAGAGGCAGAACGGAGAAUCAGAAAAUAGCAACCAAAUGAGAUCAAAUUCCCUCUUUCAGUUUUUCACCUUCUGCUGGUAAAAGAUGAAGAGGCAAACAGAGGAUCAGAAAUCCCAGCCAUUCAUGGCAUUGACAUUGGGUUCAUGGGUGGGCCCAUUUCUCAUGCUGGUAUUAGCACUUCUCACAGGCCAUUGACAACAGAGGAUUAAUGAGUUGCAUCAUCAACUUAGGUUUUUCCUUUUGCCCUUUUC